rnacentral:rRNA from 1 species
AGCGAACGCUGGCGGCAGGCCUAACACAUGCAAGUCGAACGCCCCUUCGGGGGAUUGGCGGACGGGUGAGUAACGCGUGGGAAUGUGCCCUUUGGUACAGAACAACUGAGGGACACUUCAGCUAAUACCGUAUGUGCCCUACGGGGGAAAGAUUUAUCGCCAUUGGAGCAGCCCGCGUUGGAUUAGGUAGUUGGUGGGGUAAUGGCCCACCAAGCCGACGAUCCAUAGCUGGUCUGAGAGGAUGAUCAGCCACACUGGGACUGAGACACGGCCCAGACUCCUACGGGAGGCAGCAGUGGGGAAUCUUGCGCAAUGGGCGAAAGCCUGACGCAGCCAUGCCGCGUGAAUGAUGAAGGUCUUAGGAUUGUAAAAUUCUUUAACCGGGGAAGAUAAUGACGGUACCCGGAGAAGAAGCCCCGGCUAACUUCGUG